UGACCAACCAGGGCUGGGGACAAACUGAAACUGAGUCAACAGAUAUUUAUUGAGUCUGGACCGUGGACUUCAUUUACAACGUCCUUUAAAAAAUCUGUCUGAAGAUAACUGACGCACGAUCUGCAUUGGUCCCGUCUGCUCCAGGCGCCUGAUUGCAGACCCUCUUCAAGACUCUGUGGUGGGUGCUGAGGGGGUGGUCCCUGUCUGACCGAGAAGAUCGCGGCUGCCACGUGACCCACAGAAAACUUCCUGGAAGAUGAGCCCCCCCCAAGAAUGGGGUUGUGAGGGACACACAGUGAAAAUCCAUGCAGAGCAAAGGUGGUGAUGAGGGUGGCGCGCCAGAUCUGGUGUAGUCCUCUGGCAUUCUGAUUUUCCGAGGACUUACAUAAACCUGCCCAGAAUCACCUUGGCGCUAAGGAUGGAGUCAAGCCGUUCAGCUCAAUAAUACCCAACUCGGCUCCCGGAAAGUCAGGGCUCACUGUGACGUGCGUGAACGUGCUUUCAGCUGCUGCUCAUUAUCUACAAUGUGGGGUUCCAUUUCCAGCUGCCGGCAGGACUGCCAACACACCGGUGAGAAUGGCGCUGUUCUCGUAGCUUCCUCUGCCCCAGAAACAGAAGGAUUCAAGCAUGACAGCCUCGUCUAUUCCAGCGUAUGUUUAUUUAAUGUGAUUUGGCUGAAACAAAAUUGGUAAAUAGGGCAUGAUGUCAGUGUAAUGCAGGGGUCAUGUGGACUUGCCUACUAUUUUCCCAGGCACAUUCAUGUUUUGAAGUAA